rnacentral:rRNA from 1 species
GUGGGGAAUUUUGGACAAUGGGCGCAAGCCUGAUCCAGCAAUGCCGCGUGCAGGAAGAAGGCCUUCGGGUUGUAAACUGCUUUUGUACGGAACGAAACGGUCCUGGCUAAUAUCCGGGGCUAAUGACGGUACCGUAAGAAUAAGCACCGGCUAACUACGUGCCAGCAGCCGCGGUAAUACGUAGGGUGCGAGCGUUAAUCGGAAUUACUGGGCGUAAAGCGUGCGCAGGCGGUGCUGUAAGACAGGCGUGAAAUCCCCGGGCUCAACCUGGGAAUUGCGCUUGUUACUGCAGUGCUGGAGUGCGGCAGAGGGGGAUGGAAUUCCGCGUGUAGCAGUGAAAUGCGUAGAUAUGCGGAGGAACACCGAUGGCGAAGGCAAUCCCCUGAGCCUGCACUGACGCUCAUGCACGAAAGCGUGGGGAGCAAACAGGAUCAGAUACCCGUGUAGUCC